CCUUUCUGCCUGGGGACUCCGUCACACUUAACUGUGGGGCGGUUGGACGCAGGCCGUUUACUUUGAAAAAAUUAGAGUGUUCAAAGCAGGCCUACGCUUGAAUACAUUAACAUGGAAUAAUGGAAUAGGACUUUGGUGCUAUUUUGUUGGUUUAUGGGACCGAAGUAAUGAUUAACAGGGACAGUUGGGGCCGUUUAUAUUUCGUUGUCAGAGGUGAAAUUCUUGGAUUUACGAAAGAUAAACUUCUGCGAAAGCAUUCGGCAAGGAUGUUUUCAUUGAUCAAGAACGAAAGUUAGGGGAUCGAAGACGAUCAGAUACCGUCGUAGUCUUAACCAUAAACUAUGCCGACUAGGGAUCAGUGGAUGUCAAUUUGCGACU
rnacentral:rRNA from 1 species